rnacentral:lncRNA from 1 species
AAAAUACCUAAAUCAAGAACUGGCUACAGAAGCCUGUGGUGUUUUGGGCUCUGCGUUUUGUGCUUAUUCAAAUGGCAGCAUCUCGGCAGCAGGCACUGAGGCCGGACUGCACCAGUUCCCACCAUGCUGAGGGGCCCCAUAGUGGAAACGCACCCUUUGUCCCCAUGUAACAAAAAAGCAUGGAGUCUUCAGCUCGGGGCAGGAGGAAUCCUACAGCUCUAUUACAAUCCAUGUUUCCCACAAGAAGGGGGAGAGUCUUCGCUGCAGGAACCUAAUGUCUUUCAAUGGAAUACGCCCUUUGGAGUAAUGAAAGGUCCACCUGCGGGCAGCACUGGACAAAGCCCACAUGUUUGUAUGGAGUAUUCAAAGUUAUUCAGUGCCUUCUGUUUCCCCCACGAAAUGGAUUUAAAAAGCAACCAAUGGCCCAGGUCAUCGUCUAGAGGAGUAAUGAUCAGGCUUGCAAUCCAGUGAUAGGUUCUGCAGGGGCCUAAAGAUUUGCUCAGCCGAGACAGAAUGAAGUCUUGAGUUGAUAUUUUGCUUUCAUUUUGUUCAGUUCAUCCAUCAAUUUGUGCAAAAUCUUGAUUUUUUUUUAAACCCACAAUGGACGAACAUGGGCACUGCUGAGUCGG